rnacentral:tRNA from 2 species
GCCGGGGUCGCCUAGCCUGGUCAAGGGCGCCGGACUCAUAAUCCGGUCUUCCCGGGUUCGAAUCCCGGCCCCGGCACCA